rnacentral:rRNA from 1 species
UACGAGUACCCCAAGCGUUAUCCGGAAUUACUGGGCGUAAAGCGUGCGCAGGCGGUUUUGUAAGUCUGUCGUGAAAGCCCCGGGCUCAACCUGGGAAUUGCGAUGGAGACUGUAAGGCUUGAAUCUGGCAGAGGGGGGUAGAAUUCCACGUGUAGCAGUGAAAUGCGUAGAGAUGUGGAGGAACACCGAUGGCGAAGGCAGCCCCCUGGGUCAAGAUUGACGCUCAUGCACGAAAGCGUGGGGAGCGAACAGG